rnacentral:rRNA from 1 species
AUUGAACGCUGGCGGCAGGCCUAACACAUGCAAGUCGAGCGAGUGGCGGACGGGUGAGUAAUGUCUGGGAAACUGCCCGAUGGAGGGGGAUAACUACUGGAAACGGUAGCUAAUACCGCAUACCAUCGGAUGUGCCCAGAUGGGAUUAGCUAGUAGGUGGGGUAAAGGCUCACCUAGGCGAAGAUCCCUAGCUGGUCUGAGAGGAUGAUCAGCCACACGGGGACUGAGACACGGUCCAGACUCCUACGGUAGGCAGCAGUGGGGAAUAUUGCAAAAUGGGCGCAAGCCUGAUGCAGCCAUGCCGCGCGUAUGAAGAAGGCCUUCGGGUUGUAAAGUACUUUCAGCGGGGAGGCGUUACCCGCAGAAGAAGCACCGGCUAACUCCGUGCCAGCAGCCGCGGUAAUUC